CGCCGCGCUCUGGCCCGGGCGGCCCCUUUAAGGGCAGCCAGGCCGCGAGGGCCCCCUUGCUGGAGGGACGCGCGGGCGCCCCAGCGGACACCGUUUGGGCAGAGAGGGUCCCCGGGCGGGGGAUGGGCGCUCCCGGGAGGCGGUCCCGACUGAGCAUGCUCAGUCGAGGGUCCGACUGCGGCGCGGACUGAAGGUGCACGCCAGCGCCCAGCGGAGGGAGAGAGAAGCCAGGAGUCUCCCCCCCCAAGACACCAUGGAAAAGUACCAGAUUUUGGACCGGCUGACUCCGGGGGCCUUGGGGACGAACCUGGUGGUGGUGGAGACGCAAACCAAAGAAAAGCAUGUGAUAAAGCAGGUGGAGUGCAUCGAUGAGCAUCAGGCCACCAAAGCCCUGGAGGAGGUAACGUUCUGGGCGUUCCCUCUCUAGAGGGCGUGCUGCAGGACCCACCGACUGUUCUGCCCCCUCCUGUGCAGUGAUGGGGGGAAGGGAGCCUGGCAGAGGCGGGGAGCUCAGAACCAGCUCUUUCCCGGUCCCGUGCAGCCAGAAGCCCCCCGGUCAUGAGGGGAGUCUGUGCCCCAAACACGCACUUCUAAAUCCAGGUACUGACCCCUUAGAAGACGUGUUCUCAGAGGAGAUAAGCUUGAAAUGACGGCCAGGUUCCUGGGCUCAUCUACCAUAACCACCUUUAGAGCUGCACCCGAGGCACACGGACAUUCCCGGGCUAGGGGUCGAAUCAGAGCUACGGCUGCCGGCCUACACCACAGCCACAGCAACGCAGAAUCCGAGCCACAUCUGUGACCUACGCCACAGCUCACGGCAACGCUGGAUCCCCGACCCACUAAGCAAGGCCAAGGAUUGAACUCACAUCUUCCCAGCUUCUAGUCAGAUUCAUUUUUGCUGCACCACAACAAGAACUCCUACCAUAACCUUCUUUUAAAAGAUCUUUUUCUUCAAUUAUAAAAGUACCAGUUACAAUCGAAAAAUUGGGAAAUAGUGAAUUAUUUAACAAAGAAAAUGUAAACUCUUUCACAUUCCUUAAACCUGCCAGUCGGGACUGAUAGUAACAUCCUGGUUUAUGGUAACAACAAGAACAGCUGGGAGCUCCCAUCGUGGCUCACUAGUUAAUGAACCCGAUUAGGAUCCAUGAGGAUGUGGGUUCGAUCCCUGGCCUCGCUCAGUGGGUUAAGGAUCCGGCGUUGCUGUGAGCUGUGGUGUAGGUUGCAGAUGCAGCUCGGAUCUGGCGUGGCUGUGGUGUAGGCUGGCAGCUACAGCUCUGAUUCGACCUCUGGCCUGGGAGCCUCCAUGUGCCACGGGUGUGGCCCUAAAAGACAAAAGA
rnacentral:lncRNA from 1 species